rnacentral:rRNA from 1 species
UACGGAGGAUGCGAGCGAUAUCCGGAUUUAUUGGGUAUAAAGGGUGCGCAGGCGGUCUGUUAAGUCAGCGGUCAAAGCCCGGGGCUCAACCCCGGCCCGCCGUUGAAACUGGCUGUCUUGAGAUGUCGAGAGGUAUGCGGAAUGCGUGGUGUAGCGGUGAAAUGCAUAGAUAUCACGCAGAACCCCGAUUGCGAAGGCAGCAUACCGGCGCCCGACUGACGCUGAAGCACGAAAGCGUGGGUAUCGAACAGG